rnacentral:lncRNA from 1 species
UGGAUGGAGUGUGGUCUCUCUGUAAAUUACCCCAUAUCUUUUCAUUUUCCUAUUUACCGAAGGUUCCAUGUGAAAAUUUCCAUUGGAUCAUAUCUGUUAAACUAAAUGUACAAAACAGGCUCAAGAAAAGGCGAAAUUUCUUUUUCAAACCCGAACUAGAAAUCCAUUUUUUUCUAAUAGAGCACCUUACAUUAUCGUCAAUGAGUUCAGGCAUGUGAAAAAUUAUAUAAUCAUACACAAGAAAGAAACCCUGAACAGGCUUUCAGCAAUAAUUUUUACCUAUUUAAUAUUAAGUAAAUAUUAACAUGUACAUGUAUUUGAUAAAGUACAGAUAUAACAAAGAAACUGCCCGGUAUCCGACGUAAGAGUACACUUUUUACUGCACGCGUAGUCGGGUGCGUUCACUACGAGGACACUUGUACUCAACUACGCGUGAAGUAUGAGUACAGAAUCGUCCCAUACAAGACAUUUUCUAUGUUAUCCUAGUAUAUUAUCCGACAGUUAAGAAUAGAAUCUGGUCAAAUUUUGAAGUUGAACAUGUGGGAAUUUUUUGAUUUUUGCCACGGACCAUUUAAUUUUCAUGGAGGAAGGGGCCUGGUAGUUUUUAGAAAACAAUAUUCUGACCCUGAUUUUGACUUAAAAAAUCUGCUGCCUCAAUAUUUUGUGAAAAAAAAAUUGUCAACAAAAUUUUCCUGUAUAAACUGUAUAAACUGUAAUAGAAAACAGAGAAAAUGUGUCUAUGAGACACAGAUGCCCCCGCCAAACAGGAAGUAGACGAAUGACAGACCUGAAAAGGGGAGACACGGUACAAUUCACCUUGAUAAAGCUUCAGACCAAAUAUCAAACCAAUCCGACAUACACAAGCCGAUAUAUAUUUGACAAAAAUUUUAUAGACCGGACGUACAGACGUACAGACAAGGGUAAAUCUUAAUGCCCCGUCGCCUAAAGGCGGGGGCAUAAAAAUCUGACCAGCGAAGCGGUUAUUAAAAUAUUCUGAGAUAUAUAACUAUAUACCCCC